rnacentral:tRNA from 1 species
GGGCCGUUAGCUCAGUUGGCAGAGCAACUGACUUUUAAUCAGUUGGUCCUGGGUUCGAGUCCCAGACGGCUCACCA